UACGUAGGGUGCAAGCGUUGUCCGGAUUUAUUGGGUUUAAAGGGUGCGCAGGCGGCCUAUUAAGUCAGUGUUGAAAUACGGAGGCUCAACCUCCGGUCCGGCACUGAUACUGAUAGGCUUGAGUUUACUGGAGGCAGGCGGAAUUUAUGGUGUAGCGGUGAAAUGCAUAGAUACCAUAAAGAACACCGAUAGCGAAGGCAGCUUGCCGUGGUAUAACUGACGCUCAGGCACGAAAGUGUGGGGAUCAAACAGG
rnacentral:rRNA from 1 species